GGCUCACCAAGGCUACGAUCUUUAGCUGGUCUGAGAGGACGAUCAGCCACAUUGGGACUGAGACACGGCCCAGACUCCUACGGGAGGCAGCAGUGGGGAAUAUUGGACAAUGGGCGCAAGCCUGAUCCAGCCAUACCGCGUGUGUGAAGAAGGCCUUCGGGUUGUAAAGCACUUUAAGCAGGGAGAAAAAGUUAUAAGUUAAUACCUUAUAACCGUGAUGUUACCUGCAGAAUAAGCACCGGCUAAUUCCGUGCCAGCAGCCGCGGUAAUACGGAAGGUGCAAGCGUUAAUCGGAAUUACUGGGCGUAAAGCGCGCGUAGGUGGUUUGUUAAGUUGGAUGUGAAAGCCCUGGGCUCAACCUAGGAACUGCAUCCAAAACUAACUCACUAGAGUACGAUAGAGGGAGGUAGAAUUCAUAGUGUAGCGGUGGGAAUGCGUAGAUAUUAUGAAGAAUACCGGUGGCGAAGGCGGCCUCCUGGAUCUGUACUGACACUGAGGUGCGAAAGCGUGGGUAGCGAACAGGAUUAGAUACCCUGGUAGUCCACGCCGUAAACGAUGACAACUAGCUGUUGGGAGACAAUGUCUUUCAGUGGCGCAGCUAACG
rnacentral:rRNA from 1 species